CCAGGAUGAGAGCUUACCCAGAGGAAAGUCUGGAGGCACUCGGUACCAAAAUGCAUCCACUGUACACCCUUCUAUGCAAACCCAAGACAGUGAUGUAGGAUCUACUACAUCACUCAGAAACUUUGUGGGGAAACUCAUUGUUAACAACACGCCCUUUUUUCUUCUUUUUUUGGUCUUGAUAUUAACAUUAGUCAGAUAUUCUGGAGUUUGGACUUUUUCCUAUUCAUGUAGGCUAACUGAAAUGGUUAAUUUUUUUAUGAAUUGAAAACGUAUCCCAGAAUCCUUGAUUCUCCGAAGCGGAAAACAACAGAAACCUGGAGGUGAGCCUGCCUGGCCUCCAACGAGGGCAGGCCUUCCUUCUGUGGAAACCCCCAUAGAAGUGUCACAGUCUCUGUUUAGAUGCUUCCAGGGAUGAAGAACUCAUUCCUUUUGAGGAGGCCCGUUCCCCAACUCAUCCGCUUAAAUCAGCAGUGACUGUCAGGACUCAGAGACCUGAGCCCAGUCUUCCUCCCCGGCCUCCGGGACACUGGUCUGAUGUUGGCCAGCAAGACGAGAAACUCUGAACUGUGCUGGCAGCUAGAAAAGGAAACCCCAAUGUGAUGUAGGAAAACUUGAAGAUGCUCAGAACAGACUUGCUACCAAACAGCUCAUCAAAGAGAUUGGGAAGGCUCGAAACGAUGUUUUAACAGAUGAAAAGGCAGAAGAGUAGCGGCGGGCGGCCAAGGAAAGCCUGGCCCGGGAGGCUAUGGAGGAAGCAGAACAUGAGCACAAGGAAGCCAUGGAGAUAGCAGAGAAGACUGCUCGCUGGGAGGAGUGGAGUAAACGACUAGAGGAAGCGAAAAGAGAAGAGAAUUACUAGAGGCCCAGUCUAUUCCCCCGAGGAACUAUUUAAUGACCUUUGUUAUGCCAACGCUUACACAGGGUCUCAUUGAGUGUUGUAAGGUCAGAUCGGAUGAUCCCACUGAUUUUCUGGCUAAGUAUCUCUUCAAGAACAAUCUUGAAAUGCAGUGAAACUUUAAAGAUCUCCUGUCAUAUACCUUUACAGAGCUAGAGAUGAGUUUAACGUUGUAAUCUGAAAAAUUGCUUUAAAAAUGUCUUUUUGGUUUUUUGAAAAAUUUUUUUUUUCUUCCUACAAACAAAUAUUUCAUUAAGUAGAAUCAUCAUAAAAAGCUCUAUGGCAAUGAGUCACUACUUCAUUAAAACGACUUCAUUUGAAAGCAAAAUUGCCUUACAGCCAAUUAGUUAUGCAGCAAAAAUGUUUGUGGUGACAAUACUUGCAGCGAAGAUGUCUACGGCAAAGAUGCUUACGGAGAAAAUACCGGACACGCCCUCUUCUCAUCUGCAUUUGUCCAUGCUGCAGACUAAGGUGGUCGGACUGAGAUGUCUUCCAGCUCUAUGCACCUGGGAUGCUUUCCAUCGAACACCCCAGGCCCCUUACCUCCUUUCAUCACAGCUACACUGCAAGGUUGGGGGUUGUGAGCCCCACUUCACAGAUAAUGAAAAGAAAGGCAAGUAACAAUAGUUCCUUCCUGCACCCCAGUGGUGUGCUCAGGCCCCUGCCUCACCAGACCGGGUUGUACUUGCCCCCCUACCCCAAAGGCUGGCAGGUUCCCAGGAAGUGCAGUCAGAGUCCAGAGUUAA